CAAGUUUGGCAAAGUACCUCGUACCCGUGACCUCAUAAAUAUCUUUGGGAAACCGUUCCUUCCAUUCGUUACGUAUAACGAAGGUCAGCAGUAUAAGUGGUUUGGAGCACACGUUCUUGACAAAAAUAGUGAAAUGAAGAUUGAUUUUCAAAAGCAUCUUACAAAGUUGGAAUGGUUGGAGAGUUUUAAAGUUGUAGAUGCGAACAAGGAAUGGGGUGAAAGUCAUCUAGAAAUCGUUUGCAAGUUUGGUUACGUACCUCGAACUCGUGACAUCAUCAAUAUAUUUGGGAAAGAGAUCCUUCCAUUUAUUGAAUAUAGCGAAGAUUGAGAUGGAGUCCGAAUUAAACCGGCUGCAUCGACGCGAAAAAUUUUAUUGCAGAAAGUCAAAUUGAAACAAAUCUGGCUAAUAUAUUUAACAAGUACAAAAAAUAAUCUAUGAAAUUAACUAAGUCUUGGUGGAGAUGCUGCAGUAGAUUGUAGCCUACAUUAACAGGCGAAGCACCUUGCCACAACUGGAAUUAAAAACAAUCCUAACGAACAAAAGUUGUCCGAUAUAGAUAGUUGCACUAUACAUAUGGAUAGCCAACAUGAAAAGCACUUGCCCACACAAGAAAGUAUAGGGUUGUCCGAUCAGAAAAAAUCUAUUGGUUCCUAUCAUACCCGUACUACAAUUUUUGAGACUAUGUUGAAACUAAAGUUUUAGUUCUGUUUCUAGCUCCUGUUGCUUCAG